CCCCUAGAUGUUCUGGGCCGCACGCGCGCUACACUGAACAGUUCAACAAGUCUUAACCUUGGCCGAUAGGUCUGGGUAAUCUUUGAACGCUGUUCGUGAUUGGGAUAGACCUUUGCAAUUAUGGGUCUUCAACGAGGAAUUCCUAGUAAACGCGAGUCAUCAGCUUGCAUUGAUUACGUCCCUGCCCUUUGUACACACCGCCCGUCGCACCUACCGAUUGAAUGGUCCGGUGAAAUCUCGGGACGGCGGCUUGGUCGCUUGCGUCCGACUGCUGAAACUUGAUUAAACCAUAUCAUUUAGAGGAAGGUGAAGUCGUAACA
rnacentral:rRNA from 1 species